rnacentral:rRNA from 1 species
GGCGAAAAGAACCCCGGGAGGGGAGUGAAAUAGAUCCUGAAACCGUGUGCAUACAAACAGUAGGAGCCUCCUUGUGGGGUGACUGCGUACCUUUUGUAUAAUGGGUCAGCGACUUACAUUCAGUGGCGAGGUUAACCGCAUAGGGAAGCCGUAGAGAAAUCGAGUCCGAACAGGGCGAUAGUCGCUGGGUGUAGACCCGAAACCAAGUGAUCUACUCAUGGCCAGGAUGAAGGUGCGGUAACACGCACUGGAGGU